GAUGAACGCUGGCUACAGGCUUAACACAUGCAAGUCGAGGGGAAACGACGGGGAAGCUUGCUUCCCCGGGCGUCGACCGGCGCACGGGUGAGUAACGCGUAUCCAACCUGCCUCUGACUAAGGGAUAACCCGUCGAAAGUCGGCCUAAUACCUCAUGGCAUCGUCUGCGGGCAUCCAACGACGAUUAAAGAUUUCAUCGGUCAGGGAUGGGGAUGCGUCUGAUUAGCUAGUUGGCGGGGUAACGGCCCACCAAGGCGACGAUCAGUAGGGGUUCUGAGAGGAAGGUCCCCCACAUUGGAACUGAGACACGGUCCAAACUCCUACGGGAGGCAGCAGUGAGGAAUAUUGGUCAAUGGGCGAGAGCCUGAACCAGCCAAGUAGCGUGCAGGAUGACGGCCCUAUGGGUUGUAAACUGCUUUUAUGCGGGGAUAAAGUGAGGGACGUGUCCUUCAUUGCAGGUACCGCAUGAAUAAGGACCGGCUAAUUCCGUG
rnacentral:rRNA from 1 species